AUUGAACGCUGGCGGCAGGCCUAACACAUGCAAGUCGAACGGUAACAGAAAGCAGCUUGCUGCUUUGCUGACGAGUGGCGGACGGGUGAGUAAUGUCUGGGAAACUGCCUGAUGGAGGGGGAUAACUACUGGAAAUGGUAGCUAAUACCGCAUAACGUCGCAAGACCAAAGAGGGGGACCUUCGGGCCUCUUGCCAUCGGAUGUGCCCAGAUGGGAUUAGCUAGUAGGUGGGGUAACGGCUCACCUAGGCGACGAUCCCUAGCUGGUCUGAGAGGAUGACCAGCCACACUGUAACUGAGACACGGUCCAGACUCCUACGGGAGGCAGCAGUGGGGAAUAUUGCACAAUGGGCGCAAGCCUGAUGCAGCCAUGCCGCGUGUAUGAAGAAGGCCUUCGGGUUGUAAAGUACUUUCAGCGGGGAGGAAGGGAGUAAAGUUAAUACCUUUGCUCAUUGACGUUACCCGCAGAAGAAGCACCGGCUAACUCCGUG
rnacentral:rRNA from 1 species